rnacentral:rRNA from 1 species
AUGGCCGCAUCAGAUGAGUUCAGGCGCGUGUUCUCGGCGUUCGACCAGGACGGCGACGGCAAGAUCUCCACGGCCGAGCUGCGGCUCUGCAUGAAGGCGGCCCUGGGCGGCGACAUGUCGGCCGAGGAGGUGCAGGCCCUGAUGGCCUCCGCGGACGCCGACGGCGACGGCCUGCUGGACGAGGAGGAGUUCCUGAGGCUGGUGCGGGAGACGGACGCCGGCAAGGAGGAACAGGGGGACAGGUGCCGGGAGGCGUUCGGGAUGUACGAGAUGGAAGGGAGGGGCUGCAUCACCCCGCUCAGCCUCAAGCUGAUGAUGAGCAGGCUGGGGCUGCACCUGGACGUCGUCGAGUGCCAGGCCAUGAUCCGCCGGUUUGACCUCAACGGCGACGGGUUGCUCACCUUCGACGAGUUCAAGACCAUGAUGAUGAUGGCAUGA